UAUUGCGCAAUGGGGGAAACCCUGACGCAGCAACGCCGCGUGUGGGAAGAAGGCCUUCGGGUCGUAAACCACUUUUGCACGGGACGAAAAAGGGAUAUCGAACAAAUAUCCCCGAUGACGGUACCGUGAGAAUAAGCCACGGCUAACUCUGUGCCAGCAGCCGCGGUAAGACAGAGGUGGCAAGCGUUGUUCGGAAUUACUGGGCGUAAAGAGUCUGUAGGUGGUUUGUCAAGUCUUUGGUGAAAGGCCGUAGCUUAACUAUGGGAAUGCCAAAGAGACUGGCAGGCUGGAGGCUGGGAGAGGGAAGCGGAAUUUCUGGUGUAGCGGUGAAAUGCGUAGAUAUCAGAAGGAAGGCCGGUGGCGAAGGCGGCUUCCUGGAACAGUCCUGACACUGAGAGACGAAAGCGUGGGGAGCAAACAGGAUUAGAUACCCUGGUAGUCCACGCCCUAAACGAUGGGUACUAAG
rnacentral:rRNA from 1 species